GUCCUGAAGGGAUGCAACAUGAAUAGGAGGGCAGCUUUCAGGAAACAAUGUCCUGAGAAAGAAACAUUCAGGCUGAAAUGAGAAGAUGAGAGCGUUCCAGGCAGAGGGAACAGCUAUUCACGGGCACUGCACCAGGAAGCUGCCUGCUGGAUGGAUGAGUCUGAAAGAAUAUCAACAAGCCUGGAAUGCAGGGAGGGACAUGAGAUGAGCAGCCUCCUGUGCCACUCCCCACCCCACAAUGUACUGUGCCACCACAGGCCCAAAGUGAUACGGCCAAGUACCCAUGGACUGAAACCUGUGAAACUUAUGGGAGCAUCCUUUCCAACACACAAGUCAGGAACUGCUGAGAUACAUCACGGUGCAAGCUUGAUCCAAAAUUGAUGUUAACCAUUGACUGUCAACUGAAGACUUCUAUGUGCCACUCACUGUGCUAAGCACCAUCUCAUUUAAUCCUCACAACAGUCCUUCAAGGGCUCUAGGUUUGCCUCUGAGAGGAGAGGGAGGUGGAAUAUACUUUACCCCCUGCAACCUGCUGAAGAAAUGUGCUCCUGAGGCCAGAAAAUCAAGUAAGCCCAUCUGGCUUAGACAGCUCAGCAGCGUGAAGAUCAAAGUCACGUCCUCAGGUCUGUGCUCCUCAAUGGCAUUAACUCUACUUGCAUGCUCCUAUGGAUGAGGAAGGACAUCAUCCCUUACUGAGUGUAUCUGUCCACAGGAGAAAUCAGUGGAAGAGUCCUUAGCAGAGUCUACAAAGUCAUUUCUUUGCCAGAAACCUCCCACAAUGAAUCACAUCCAUUGGAUACUCUCAGGUGCAUGGGUGGCACAGCAUGGAAGGUAGAAGAAACUCAGAUUUCAGAGUCUUGAGAUCAUCCCCAGGGCUGCUCCAGUGACCUUGACUCCUGAUCCAAUGACCAGAGAAUCUUGGCAGUGGCGACAGCCAGUUUUUUCCACUGGUAUUUAGAAAUGUGAUGAAUUGGAAACAAACUGCAGGCUCAACAGCUUGGAGCUGGUUAAAUGAUUUUGGGUUCAUGCAGCCAGUACAACAAAUCACAAAUCUAUCUUUUCUACACCCGAUAUUAGAUUGAAACAACUGAGCAGAUCCUUUCUGCAGUUACAGUUCCUCAGAAUGGAAUGUGCAGAAUUUAAGUCAAAAUAUGCCAAAAUGUUAGCAAUUAAUUCUUGGUUGUUAUAUGUAAGGAGUAUUAUUUCUUAUUUUUCAUAUUUCCAAUGUACAAACAUGUGAUUUUAUUAUAAAAAACAUUUAUAAGGAGUAGUCUUUUAGAUCAAGAACAAGAGCAUAAAUAUGGGCAUAGAGAGAGUGGAAGAAAAUCAAGCAAAAUGAUACCUUUGGAUGGUAGCCUCAGAAUUUUUUGCCUCCCAUCUUUAUAGUUUUUGAAUUUUCUAUAUUUACUUUUAUAAUAGGCAUUCCUAUUUAAGAUAAUUUUUUUUAAAAAAUUGGUGGAAUGGGAGAGUGGCCAGUUUCUGAGAAGACAAAGCUUUGGGCUCCCCAAAAGCCCUUUCAUGUCAAUUGGUUGAUAUUUUCUGAGCCUAUAAACUAUGCACGUCAUUUGGGCCCAGAGAAGUAGGGGUGAGAAAGCUGAAGGAGAUGCAAGCACUUUAAUCAGAUCACAAUCCAUCAGGGGACAUAAGAGCUCUCAUUAUACAGCUCAAAUUGCAAGGUCUUAAUCCUAGAAGUGUAUCUGUUAAGAGUAUAGUAAUAGGGCUGGGGAUUUAGCUCAGUGGCACAGUGUCUGCCUCACAACCACAAGGUCCUGAGUUCGAGCCCCGGUACAAAAAAAAAAGGUGACAAUAUACUGAGCGGAGCUGCAUCACCUGGGAAGAAACUCACCUGCAUUUCUUAAUCAUGCUGGAUCUGACCCUCAGCUUGCUUUUCUGUAACUGUAAACUGCCUCAUAAUGUCCUUGUGAGGGCUAAGUGAAGCCUGUGCGUGAAGGGCUGGGCAAGGCUACCUUCACCAUGAAUCACAUUAUCAUUACUGUGUCUCAGGUUUUGGGGCCAGCUAUCCAUAAGCUGUGUUUUCCAAGAUGUCGCUGGCAUUUGGACUCACCUUUAUCCAACUCCCAAGCCAUUGAUUCUACCCAAAUCAGGCACUGCAUUCACUCCACACCAAACUGAAAUUUGUUGUAAACCUCACUAUUUUCUUAUGAUCUUGCCAGGAAAAAAAGCCAAAUUUCUAUUCAAAGAUCAGAGGCGAAAUGAAUUUGGUUCAAAGAACAUGAGAGGAGGAAAGAUGCAGGAUGCCGUAGUGUCACCUGCACUGUUGCCAAGAAUCUUGCUGCAGAAGAUUCACCCUGAAGCCUGUGUUGGUAACACAGCAUUGCUUGGCUUGUCCUUAACUGUGAAUGUGUCAGGAUUUCCCUCCUAACCACUUGUGUUAGUUUGCUCUGGUUGGAGGGCAGACUGUCAUGGAUGGAAAGCAAAAGGAAGUAUAGGGCUGGGGAUUUAGCUCAGUGGUUUUGCUGUCUGCUGCGCAAGCGCAAGAACCCAAGUUCAGUCCCUGUUACCAAAAAAGGACGUAUAAAGAAGGGCCAGUGUGUUUAAAAAGAACCUAAACACCUGGACAACCAAUGCCAAGAGGUGUGAGACACAGGUUAGAAUUGGAAGUCUAAAAAAACGGAGUCAAAAGCAAUGGAGAUCUAGAAAAAGGGACAAGGAAAACCAAAAGCACAGCGGAAAUUCUUUUUAGGGAUAUCCAUGUCAUUCAGAAAAGUUACCUCCUUGAAAAGAGUGUUAAUAUCAGUGGUUUUCCCCCUGUCUCUCCAGUCAUCUGUUUUUUAAGGGCUCUACCUAAACUCACCUGUAACCCAUCCUGUCCCACCUCCUCUUCACACUAGGCAUUAGGAGUACAAAUACUUUAUUAAGAGAAAUCAGACACACAAGCUUAAAUAUUGGAUCAUUUCUCUUAUAUGAGAAACCCAAGAUAUAAAUAAAGAACAAAAUAAAAGAUAAUAGGAAAUAGGGAGAUGGAGCUUUCACAAUGGGAAGGGAACCUGGAGAUCGGAAGGGGGGUGGUAAAAAGAAUUAAAAUGUCUUAUGUCCAUGUACCAGCUCCACAUGGUGAAUAUAAUUAUUAUGUACUGCAAACAUCUAAUAAAAUUUUUAAGAAUUAAUAAAAAAAGCCAGUGCAGAUAAGAGCACAGGAGAGCUGUGUGCUUGAAUAAGGAAGAAGAAUACAUAAGCAUAUCAGGGACAAGUACAGUGCUCAAGACUGGUAUGAAGUGAAGUGGCUAAUGGGACAGGUAGGCAGAAAAGACUUUCCAGGGGAGCCAGGACUUGAGCUCAGUCCUCAAGGACAGUACAAGCAUGUUCCUGUGGCCCUGAGAGAGGAAUUGGUUUCAGGCACCUGCAGAAAGAGGCUGCAGGGAGCAUGAGAAUGCCAUGGGCCUUUGGUGUGCUUGGUAGAUGGCACUGGUUGGAUCAUAGGUAUUUAUAGAGAAGACUUGGUACAAUAAGGCUACCAUGCAAGUGGGACAACCCCCAGAAGUUGGCUGACAAGCUGAAGGACCUAUCCUGAAAGUAGUGGCAAGGGGAAGAGGUGGCAUUUGAUUUGUUCCCUGGCAGUGAGUUUCUUCUAUGCUCAGGAGUUGAGCCACCUUGGGCAAUAUGGAGGUCAAGCCUCUUAUCCUCUCUGUCAGAGCUUCAGUUUAGAGAGAAGAAUUAGUCCAGAUUUAUCAUUUAUCAGAUGACUUUGGAACAGCACAUAAUUGAAUCUUGAGAAAAGUCUACUCAUGCAUCCGUUUCUUCAUUCACUCAUUUAGAUUGGUUCUUAGGCAUCCAAUAUUUUAUGUUCAGUACUGCUGAAAUUUCUUUGGGGGCUACACAAUUUAGUAGGAGUUGCCUCUAAUUUCAAGAACCUUCAAGUCAGAGUAAAGGAGAGAUGACUACUAAUUCCACAGUGUUAACCCACCAACUAAGCUCUUUAUCUCAUCUCCUAAGACUCCUUUAACCCCUUCAAUAGAUUUCCCAUCUCUCAUGGGAAAAAUGUGAACUCUUAUCUAAAACUAAUUGUCUCUCUAUGGGAAACCUUUAUUUGUCUCCUAAAACUCAUCUCCUACCACUCCUUACCUUUUUCUGCUCUAGCCCACUGCCUUUUCUUUCAUUAGAUUCUCUUCCACCACAGGUCUGUAGCACAUGCUGCUCCUUCAGCCCAAGCCAUCUUCUCUGGUUCAUGCCUACUUAUUCUGUAAGCUCAGAUGAAUAAUUCUGUGGGAAAGGUUUCUCAGUCCAUCUGAAUUGACCAAGUCUUUAUUACACACUCUUCUACUCCAUCUAAUAUCACUCACAGGCCUUUUCCCAGUUAUAAUUAUUUUUCAUUUAUUUACACAAUAACUAUAUUAACAUCUACAUUUUCUACCAGAUCAAAAGUCCCAUAAAAGCAAGCACUGUUUUUAUAAUAAUUGCCAGAGUAUAAUUUAUUUAUAAUGUGCACACACAUUUUAGAUGUACCUUUCAGUGAAUAUUGGCAUAUUUAUGCAAAAGCUUAUAUACAUGUUUAUUACUAAAACUGCAUAUGGAACACUUCCAUCCCUCUAAAAUUAUGCUGUGCUUCAGGCAGCCACUCAUAUGCCUUUUGUCCUUAUAGAUUGGAUGUCUUUUCUAUAGUUUGAUAUAAAUAGAAUCAUAUGGCCAGAAUCCCUUAUGUUUGGCUUCUCCCACCCAGCAUAAUGUUUUUGAGUCAUCUAUGCAGUGUGUCAUCAUAGUCUGUUCUUUUUAAUAGCUGACUGAUGCCAUUCUCAUUGGUUCAUUGGAGUUACCACUCUCUCUUCAUACAGCCUUCAGCUUCUUAAGGCAGGAGCCACAUUUCCUAAUACUUCCAGUACUUGGUAUAGAUCUAGACAUAUAAGUGGCCUUUGAAAGGGAUAUAGUCCGUCUUCCCUGAUUCAGGGCAUGUAAGUGAUCAUUCUACUCACACUUAGUAGUCAUCCUGCCAUCACAGGCUUCCUUUGCAUACUUCACUAGUUAAGCAUCUGGGUCCAGGAUACCUAAGCAUACUUGCCUUCCUUUAGUACCACUCUGAUGCUUCCCAGAGCCAGAGAGAGGUCCUGGGUCAACCUUGGUGGUGAGGCCCAUGAUGAUAGGCAAAUCCCUUUAACAUUUUGAACUUGGACUUCCUUGUCUAUUGAAUGGAGAUACUGAUAUGUAUCUCAAGGGUCAUAAAGUGAACUCAGGUGUAUGAAAGUGCUGUGUGAAGUAGAAAAUGCAAUACUGUACAGUGAAAGUUAAUUCCAUCAUUUAAUUGCACUUCAUCCUGGAUUAACUGGCUGUGUUACCUGAGACAUGUAGACCUUCAGUUUCUUUCCUAUCAGAUGAGGGUUGAACUAGUGUCCUCCAAGGUGCCUUUCAUCUUGGACCCUCCUAUUCUAGGGCCCUGGAACACUAGAAACAGAGCCUAUCUGAUUCUCCAGCAUGGGAAAAAUUGGGGAGAAACAAACAGUUUCUCUGAAAAUUCUCUUCCUGAGUAAAGGAAGCCAGCUCUAGUUUCCAGAACAAGCCAGUGUUUUUGCAUCAAUAGAUUUAACUCUGUAGCUAUUUCCAAAAACAUUAGGGAAAAUAACAGAGCUCCUGAUUUCCAGGUGCGCUUACUGGUGCUAUGAAGCAUGUCCUUUGCUGGGAACUGAUCUUUGAUAGGGAUAAAUGUGUCCAAGUUACUUUAGAGCAGGAAGUAUUCCUUUUUUUUGGUACUAGGGAUCGAACUCAGGACCUGGCACUUGUGAGGCAGGCAGUGGCACCACUGAGCUAAAUCCCCAGCCCAAGUGUUCCAUUUUUUAAGCCAGUAAUUUAGUUAAGUCCACCUCCAGAUGAGCCCUGUCAUUCAGGCAACAGAGGAUUUCUAAGUACCUACUGUGCGGUAAGUGAUAUAUAUAUAUAGUCAUCCCCAAUAGCUUUGUGAUAGAGGUAGUAAGUUCAUCCCAUGUGGCUUGACAUGUGCCCUCAGUUGGUAAAUGGCCAAGUCAGGGCUAGAAUCAUUGGUCCUUCCCACUGUGACAGGCCCUGGAUUAGCCCCGGGUGGUACAAAGAUAAUUCAUGUACACUUGAAUUCUGUAUGGCCAGGAAGAGAAGGCAACAGCUUCAUCUUUACAAGAGGUAAAUCCAAGAAUGUCAAGAUGCUAGAAAUUUCCCAUCAAGUUCAACUCCUUGACUUUAACAAUGAACAAAUGGAGGUCGCCAGACCUUCUCAUCUGCCUGGGACACAGUGGCAGUCCAGGAAACUGGAACUGUUACCCAAAAUUUCAAUUCCCAGCUUAGAGAUUUUCACACUACAGCAUAUCAUAGGGCAGAGUGGGGACUGCUGCCAGAAACAGGGAAGUGAAGAAUUUUUUUAAAAGGCUAUUUCCAAGUCUCCUGUCCCCUGUGUCCCAAGUUCAAAGUAAAGAGUAUUGGGAAGAGUCAGUGGAGAUGUUCAAUAACUACCAUUUUAAAUGAGCACAAUGCCGUGUUCUUUUCCUGUUAUCUCCUGUAGGACCAAGGACAAAUUUCAGUAGAAGAAUUUUGUGAGAUUCUCAUUCCUCGUAAACCCUCAGUUAAGACUGUAUGGAACCUUCACUCAGUAAGAAGCAACUUCUAAAAAAAAAAAAAAAAAAGAAGAAGCAACUUCUAAUUCCCAUUUUGGAAUUUGCCCAUUUUUUGGUUCCUAGUGGAAACAAGGAUUGUACUUACGGUUCUUCCCCAACCCCCCCUUGCAUUAUAAGACCCUAAUUAGCUCUGCAGUUAUCUUUAUUCACCAAUCACACAGGCUUCUUUCCUAUCAAAUGGACCUGUACAAACAAUUUCACCGUUAUCUCAGUGGUUAAUUCAGUGAGAGCAGACAUUGCCCAGUGCCUGGAAGUCAGUCAGUGCUUAAUAACUGUGAGCCACCAUCCUUGCUACUGGCACAGUGAUGCUCCAGGAGCCCCUUGACCAUAAACCUACAAUAGUCUCUUUCUGCGUCAUCAACAUCUGUGCAAACUGGAGGCUGGGAUGUGGCUCUAGGCAUCUUUUGCACCAGGAUCCAGGUCCAGAGUGUCUCCCUGUGUGUCACUGUCCUGUGCUUCACAAUCUGAGUAGAAGUGUUCUCCCUCUGUGCACAGACAUGAGUUUCCUCUGCCAAGACCAUGAUGCUGGGAGGGACUUGGGGAAGGUGACAUGCAAGCCAAAUAAAGACAACAGAAAACCAAGUCAAAUGAAGACAACAGAAAACCAAGAAAAGAUGAAGAAGCUUGGAGAGAAACAGGGGAAAGGGAAUACAGAGGUGAUGACAGAGAGUAAAUUGGACUUACCAAGAAGCAGAAAUCAGUGGUGGGUGAAGGACAAGGGUCUGGUGUCACACAUGCCUGGGCUGGCAACCUGGUGGUGCUCUUUUUAUUCCCCCAUUAAGUUUAUUGGUACAUUUUAGGUAUACAAUACAGUUAUAUUCAUCAUUGGGAUCUUGUACCAUUACAUGACUGUCUUGGUUCUUAUUCUUUUUUUCCCCUUCCCCUGCUCUCCCUUCACCCCCUCCACCCUUCCCUAUUUGCAAAGACUUUGUUUCCAUUUUUUUCCUUUUGUCAUAUUUUUUUCUUUUCCCUUCUUUCCUUUCCCCUACCCCUCCCACUUCCCCUGCUCCUUUAGACCUUUUCUUCCUAUUACACAAUAUCAAUUAUACAUUGUUAAAAUUAUAGUAUCAAUAUCUAGGAGACAUUACCACAGAUGUUACAGAAUUUAAAAGGGUAUAGAAAGCAUAUUACAAAAAUCUUUUUUGAAAUAAAUUUGAUGACUUCUAAGAAGUACCUUGGAAGACAAAUUAAUGGAACUUACUCUGGAGGAAAUAUAAAAUUUGAAUAACACCUAUUAAAGAAAGUAUAUUCCUAGCUUGAAAACCUACCUAUAUGACAACAACAGGCUCAUAUACAUUUUAACUAAUAAAUUAUAUCUAAUAUUUAAAGCAAAAAAAGAAGAAACACUUCUCCCAUCAUUUUAGGAAAUCAACAUUGUGCUAAUACUAAAGCUGGAUAAAGUUAAUAGAAAAAAGUAUGAACAUAGGGGCCGGGGUUUUAGCUCAGUGGUUUUGCCACCUGCUGCACAAGCGCAAGGACCCGAGUUCAAUCCCCAGUACCAAAAAAAAAAAAAAAGUAUGAACAUAGAUAGGAAUUUGUUUAAUAAAACAAACUUGGAAGUCAGAUCUGGCAGUAUGUAGAAAGUGGUUUUAUUAUAGGGAUAGCAGUGUUGGUUCAGCAUUGGAAGAUCCAGCCCCAAAAGUCAUCAUUUUAACAGAGGAAAGGAAAAAGCCAUAUGAUCCCGUCACUAGUUGGAGAAAAAGUAUUGGACUAAAUUCUACAGCUGUUCAUGGUAAAAGCUAUCAGGAGUCUAGAAGUAGAACAGAACCUUCUCAACAGAUCAAAGACAUGUACUCCAUACUUCCAGUGAGAAUGCCUUAUAUGAAUGGAGAAGAUACAAUGCUUUCUCCCUAAGGUGGGGAACAAGGGGAGAUAUGCCUACUCUUCAUCUGUCCAUUAAACUUUGAAACAUAGGCCCAAACCAAAAUACUCUGGCACUAAAAAGACACAAUUAGCAUACAAUUGGCAAGGUAGAAGUAAAAUCUUUAUAUGUGGAUGAAAUGAUCAUCUACAGAGAAAAUACUAAGAAAUCUCAAGGAGCCCCUAGAACUUGUAUUUGAAUUUAGCAGGAUUGUAUUUGAUUUUAGCAGGAUUAGAAAACACAAGGUAUAUAUAAAAAUUCAGGUCUAUGUAUACUUACUAUAAAGGAAGAACUGGAUAUUGAAAUUUAAAAGUUAUGUAGGAGUACAAAGGACCUAGAAAACUAAAAAGAAAAAGAAAAACUAUUGGAAGACAUUUAGUACCUAAUUUUAAGACUUACUCUAAAGCUAUAGUAGUCAAGGCAGUUGACUACUAGUAUUGAUGUAAGGAAAGACAUAUACAUCAUUGGAAUAAAACAGAGAAUCUAAAAAUAGAACCACACAUAUAUGGUCCACUGAAUUUUGAAAGAUUAUUUAACAUUAACAUUUUAUAGAACAUAAACUCCAUUCAAGAGCCGAGGAAAAGAUAGUGUUUUCAGCAAAUGGCACUAGAACACCUGGUAUCCGUAUAUAAAAAAUUAAACUAAACUUUAUUUAUAUAUAUAAAAAUAACUUGAAAGGAUCUAUGAACCUAAAUAUGAAAGACUAAAACUAUAAAACUUGAAGAAGAAAUUACAAGGGAAAAUGUAUAUGAAUUUAGGGUAGGCAAGAAUUUCCUAGGAUAUAAAAAACAUGAUGUAUAAAAGAAACUUUGAUAAAUGAGAUUCCAUCAAAAUUUAGAACUUUAAAUGACAUCAUUAAGAAAGUGAAAAGUAGUCCUUAAACUGACCAUAUUUAUAAUGCAUAUAACCUAUGACCAGAAUAUAUAAAGAACUCUUACAGCUUAUUAAUAGACAAUCCAAUUAAAAAUUAGACAAAAGAAGAUGGUAAAUAGCCAAUACAGAACAAGGAAAGGUGUGCAACACUAGAAUCAGAAAAAUACUAAUCAGUACUAUCAAAAGAUUGAAUUAUACACUCAUUAGGGAGAUGAAGUUAAAAGUUUUAAAAGAACAAAUGUCAGCUCAGGUCUGAACCAAUUAGAACUUUCUCAUACUGCUAAUGUGAAUGUAAAAUGAUAAAACCAUUUUGGAAAACAAUAUGGAAAUUUCUUGUAUUACUGUUAAUAAACAACAGUCCUGUUCUUAAGUUUUUACUUGAGAGGAAUGAAAACACAUGUUCACAAUAGAUUUGUACAUUCCAGUUGAGUAUCCCUUAUCUGAAAUUCUUGGGACCAGAGUGUUUCAGAUUUUGGUUUGAGAUCUACUUGAUCUGCAAAGAGGAUAGCUACUCCUGCUUUUUUUCUGGUUCCUGUCACAUGGAGUAUUGUUUUCCAUCCUUUAACUUUCAGACUAUGAGUUUCUUUGAAUUAAGUGUUUCUUCUAUGCAGCAUAUUGUUGGAUCUUGCUUCUUGACCCAUUCUGCCAGUCUCUUUCUUUUGAUUGGUGAACUGAGACCAUUAACAUUGAUGGUUAUAACUCAUACAUAUUGACUUAUCAUUGUCAUGACUUUUUGUGUUUGUUGGAUUCUCCCCCUUUGGAUUUAAUUUCUUGUCAUGCCCGACAGAUUCAUUCUGCUGGGCUUCCUGGGGUUGUGAUCCUCAUUGUCUUUUCCUAGGAUAUGGUCUAAAAUUUUUUGUAGUGCUGGUUUGGUAUUCAUGAAGUUUGUAAGGUGCUCUUUGUCAUGAAAGUAUCUUAUUUCUCCAUCAAUUUUGAAAGAUAAUUUUGGAGGGUACAUCAAUCUAGUUUGGAGGCUAUUUUCUUUUAGGGCUUGAAAUACAUCACUCCAAGCUCUUCUUGCCUUGAGGGUUUGCAUUGAGAAGUCUGCUGUGAUUCUGAUGGGCUUUCCUUUGUAUGUGAUUUGUUUCUUUUCUCUCACUGCUUGUAGAAUUUUGUUCUUCUGUUGGGUUUCUGGAAUUUUAACAAUUAUAUGCCUCUGUGUAGAUUUUUUUUUUUGAUCAAGGCUAGUUGGAGUCUUAUAUUCCUCACUUAUCUUUAUGUCAAGUUCUUUUCCCCUCCUUGGGAAGUUUUCUGCCAUCACUUCUGUGAACAGUUUUUUUUAUGUCAUCUGCACUUUCUCUUGUUUCUUCAUUGACUCCAAUCAGUCUUAUGCUAUUCUUCUUUGCAUUGUCUAGCAGCUGCUGGAUUGAUUUCUCAUGAUCCCUUACAAUUUUGAAGCAAUUUUUCUUUUCCUGGUCACUAAUUGCAAUCUUAUCUUCUAUAUCUGAAAUUCUGUCCUCACAUUGGCUCAUUCUGCUGCAUAGACUUUCAAUGGAGUUUUUGAUCUGGAAAUCUGUUUGCAUCUGUUUUAUGGAUUCCAUUUGUUUCCUAUGUUGGGAUUCCAUCAUGUUCCUGAGCUCCUCUCUAGAUUUAUUAAUCAUGUCUUGCACUAUGAGCACAAUCUCUGCUGUUAUGUGAGAAAUUAUUUCUAAUUUCAUUUUUUCCAGGUCUUCUUUUGUUACCAGUUCAGGGAGUCCAGGUGUUUGAGUAUCAGAAUGUUUCAUCUCCUUUCCCUUUGGGGUUGCUGUAGGUGAUCUGGAAGUCUGAUUUGAAACUUGUUUAUGUGUCUUUUCAUUUUGAAAGGAGUGGGGGUGCUGCGGGCACCUGUGCAGCUUGCCUCCUGUGUGCUAGCGGGGGUGGUGUGGUGGCCUGGAAGCCUCCUCUUGUGCGCUGGGAGCAACUCACCACCUGGCUGUGUUCUUGAAGAGUGUGUGACUUUGGGCAAAUCACUGCCUCUCUAUGAAUCUCAUUUUUCUCCUUUGUAAAGGGAUGCUAAUAGUUCCUCCUUCAGAAGUUUGUCUUCGGAGAAGAUGUAAUGAGUUGAUAUGUGUAAAGCACAGUGGCUUGCUUAUAAUAAGCUCUCCACGCUCAACUAGAAUAAUUAUAAUUAUGUUCUUCUCUUGGCCAUAUACCUUUAGUUCCCUCAAAGGCUGUGUGUGGCUGGCAUCAUGAUUCCAGUUUUAUGAAAGAGAAGUUAAGGGCAGUGGCUGAAUCGUUGCAAUGUGUAGAUCUUUUCCUCUGUACUCUGUUGCUAUCCAGACAGGAGGUUGUAGCUGGGCUCUGGGUGCCCAUGGCUUCAUUUUUCCCAGCUUCUGCCGAGCAUUGACAGGCUCAGGAGCAAAAGUUUCAACAGAUGACCUUUAGGGGGCAGCAUGAGCCUGGGAAACCCUCAGAUGUCUUUGGGAACUGAGCUGUGCUGUCAGCUAAAGGGGACCUAAGGCUGUCCUACUGGGGCUCCCAUUGUUAUGACAAUAGUUGAGGCCUAGGCUAUGGGGCUUCAACAGUGAAGGGACAAGAGGGGCACUGAAUUAGGAUGCUUGGCCUCCCCUGCAACCUCUUUUUCCCACUAUUCCAUUCUGCUUAGUAAAUAGGGGCUGAUCUGGUCCAAGCCAUACAGGGCAUUAAUUCCCAGCCCUCCACAGAUUGGAGGAGGUAGUGCAGCCUGGAGAGUGGGAGAGCAAGAGAGCACUUCCUGAGUCAACAGAAACAACUUAGAACCCAGUGCAUUUCUUAGUGCACAUGGAUCCCUCUGACUCCUGCUCAUCUUCUGGCUCUUGAGCCACUGGGGGCCAGAUUCCUGGGCCCUCCCCAGGUCUCUGAGUCAGACCAGUAGAGGUCACUUUGACCAGUAGUGGUCCAGAGGAUUUUUAUGCAAACUUGCAUCUGACAGCUUCUUUUCUGGUGACAGAAAGACCUGACAGAAGGUCCAUAAGGGAAGAAUGGGGUAAUUUAUUGAUCACUCCUUGCUGGGGCCUGAGCUAAGUGCUCCAUAGAUGCCGUUCUUUGUUUUUCCCUUCACAUUAUUCCUUUACCCGUUCUUAAUGGCAGAGCACUGGACUGAGACUCAGAGAGGUGAAGUGACCUGCUAAAGGCACACUGCUGUCAGCACCUGAGAGGAUCAGAGCUCAGGGCUCUGUAGUUUUAACACUUGCCAGCUUUCACUCUCCAUGUAAUCAGGCCCGGGUCUAAAGAAGGCUGCUGGGCUGGUGUCCAGCACAUGGGCAAAGAAAGGGCCAAGAAAUCCCUUGCCUUCAAGAGUCAAAUCUGACUUGGACUCCUUAGUUUGGGGCCUGGGAUCUGUCAAACACUAAAACAUUUAAGGCUUUUUUUUUUUAAAUAUCUGAAGUAAGCCAUCUAUUAUCUCCUCCACCUUGGCCUCUGCCAGAGGUGGCUCAGACACCCUGAUGAGACCGAAGACCCAUGGCUCUCCAGCCGUGAGCAUUUUGGCGGGAAAGGGGCUUGGAGAUUAACAGGCAGGGCCUCUGAGGCUUGCAAGAAAACUUGUCUUCAGAAUCCUUCAGACUGCUGGAUGCCAGGCCUUCCAAUUCUUCCCUUUCCCCUUGGAGAUUUUAACCUCACUCUCCUUGUGGGAACAGUGGAUCUCCAGCUUCUGUCUGCUCUGGCCAUUUUUAAGGACUCUGACAUCUUGUGGAAGAAAGGGGCUCUUCAAAGCCAAAUGGGCAAUAUAGAGGUCAGUUGUUUGGCAGCACUUCUACUACAUGCAAUCCUGCUUUGGGAAAUGGAUCAGUUCUGGAUAAUCUCUGACCCUACCAUCUCUCUAUCCCCAUAGUCAAACAGGACUCAAAUACUCCAUUUGAGUGAUACCUGUGCUGACCUUGAGAAUGUUUGCCUCUGGCUCCAGUAAUUUAGUCUCUCUCUCUCUCUCUCUCUCUCUCUCUCUUUUUGUGCAUCAUCUCUUGUGUCUUCUCAUUUGUUCCAUCUCUAAUCUGUCUGCUUCAGUUUAUUCACUAUGCAAAUUAGUUAUUUGAAGGACUAGAAGCCUCUUCCCAGGCCCAAUAACCCAGAACUUGAAAAAGAAUUCUCCUCCCUCCGUGAGGUGUCCAUGGAUUGAGAAAUGCUAACAUUCCCACUGUGCUCUGGCUGGUGCUCUUGCCCUGGAAGAUUUCAGCCAGUCUAUUCUGGUGGGCCCUGGAGGUCAUCUGCAAAGCAUUGGCUUCUUCCCAGCCUGCUGGCAAUAAGAAAGGACAGAGACCUUACCAGUGUCCUUCAGCAUUCUAGAUGGGUAAAUCUCUUCUUUCUUUUGGUUAAGGUUGGCAUUUAGCCAGAAUGUUGGUAGAUCUCUAAGCAAAAGAAAGGCAGCUAAUAAUACUGACCAUUCCUAACAAGAGGUAGCCCCUGAGGCUAUCCAACUGCCUUGACACCAGAUGCCAAACAUUUUUGGAAACUUUCUGGUCUCCCCAUCCCAGACAUCUGUGUAUGGCUCAGUCCACAGCAGCAAAUCUGAGGUGGUGAUGGUUCUGGCUCUUCAGUUCUAUAGAGUCAGGCUGAUGUCUCAGAAUCCCCCAAGUUAAGCAGGUGCCUUCUUCUCCAAGGGCCUCCAUUUCCAUAUCUGUUUAAUGAAUACUUUCUAUCCGUGCCCCUCAAAUUUCAGGCUAAAUGGGAGAAUUCAUCAAGAUAAUCUGUGAAGCCGUGUGCUUGGUCCUUAGAAAAACAUGGUACCCCACCUUCCUGCCAGAUCUCCAGGCUCUCUAGAAUGUUGUGUUAUAGUCAGCAGAUCUUCAGUUUAAAUAAGGGUACAAGUAGUACUUUCACUUUGAGUAGAAAUUGCACUUCUAGGACUAACCAGGAGAAAUGAAGGCUCAUAAGGAUCCAUGUAAAAAGAUGAUAAUUGCUGCAUUUGUUGUGAUUUUCAAGUGGAAAAUGGAAAAAAAGAAACACAAAACAAAUGUAUGGCUGUGGAAGACAGGCUGAAUGAACUCAAACUAUGGUACUCCACAGUGUUGAGUUAACAGCUCUGAACAAUAAUGGAAUUUAAAAAUUGAUCUGGAGAGAUGGUCAUGAUUCAUUUAUUGAAAAAAGAAAUAUGUAUUAAAAAUGUGUAUACUAUGAUUUUUAAAAAAAUAAACCACCAGAAACAUGCAUGGUUCUGUGACCCUAAAGAGAGAUAUGGAAUGAUCCACACCAGUUGUCAACAUUGCUUACAUGGAGAUGGAAACUGAAAAGAGACAUGAAGGGAAGAAAGGAGAUUUAAGAAUUUACUUGAUUUAUUUCUGUUCAUCUCUGAAUUGUCUGCUUUUUUCUAAAUAUAUGUAUCCAUUGUUUUGUAAUGAAAUAAAGUUGUUAGAAGUCUACCCCACAACAUAGUCUUCAGUGAAUGAAAUGAGUAAAUGAGAAAAUGAAAGAAACAUGGUAAUCCUACCAUUUGCAAACAUCUCUUGAAACAAAAGAUGUUUUCAUGUUCCAGAUUCUCUACCAAUAUGCAAAUACCCUUGGUGGCUGAAGCUGAUAAAGCUAACUUUGUCACUGGUCACUAAUCUGGGCUUUGUCAAUCUCAGAGAGAGAGAGAGAGAGAGAGAGAGAGACUUUGAGGGGAGGAGGAAAGAAAAGUUUUAAGUCAGAUACCUCUGUGUGCCUGGCAAUCAUAUUCUCUUCACACAAACACCAAGUUCUAUGAAUACAUACUCCUGCAGGAUAUUCAUCCAUUUGGCCCAUUUUAUGAACAAGGAUACUGAGGCUGAUAGAGUUAUCUAAUGUUGUAUCCCCAAAAGCGGAGCCAGAUGCAAAUGCAGACCAUUGACUCCAGGCAAAAUGGGAAAGUUCCAAAGUUCUCAGGUACCAGUCAACUGCUUUAAAAUGGUAACUUUGAUACUAUUAGAAGUAGCAACAGCUGGCAUUUAGUGACUCUUAGGUCAGGUCUGUCUUUACUGACACUUUAUUUUGCUAAGUACUUCAUUUUUAAUUUCUUAAAUCGGGUUUUGUAAUUUUGUUUGCAUACUAAUUUUAAUUAGUACAUGUUUGUGAUCCACAACAAUUAUAUUCAUCUUAGGGAAUUCAUACAAAUACAUCUUAAUCAGUGCUCACUUCGGCAGCACAUGUACAAAUACAUCUUAAUCAUUUUUACUUCUCCUCCCUGCCCUCCUGUCUUUCCCCAUCCCUAGG
ensembl:lncRNA